GAGGGAGACCAUUUGUUUUGUCCCAUUUUCUUCAUUUUCUCUUCAUUUCUUCAAGCUAAAUAAAAAAGGAGUGUUCUUAGGAGGAUUAUAUCCCAGAAAACAAAUUAAGUGACAACUUAGAGAGUUAUAGAGCUUGAGAGAAACAAAGGGAAGAAGUUGGAAAUUGGAAGACGAUGACAUGAUUUUUGUAAAUUUUUGCAAGAAUUCAUUGAAAUAAGUUAAAGUAGCAAAGGGCAGGAACUUCGGCAGCCAUAUUUUGACUUUCCACCGUUAGAUUAGAUUGAUUUUUGGAUAUGUUAUUGUACUCAAUGUCACCUACAUUCGGACCGGAGGGAUUGUAAAUAGCAGACUUCGUUUGAGGGCUGUCACCGGAGGAACAUUUCUGGAAAAUCACCCUUCAAGACAGCCUUGUUCGUCGGACGUUAUAUCAUUGUUUCACCGUUGGAUUGGUCUGGAUUUUGGAUAUGUUGUUCAACCAGAUGUUACAUAAAUUCUGAACGGUUAAGAUCGGAAAAAAACACUCCUACCAGAAACGGUACUUCCCGAACAGUAGGUCUCCAAUUUUCAGGAGAAGCAUUCACUCGACUUCUCAAGAGCUCGUAUAGUAGGAGUUUAAGGAGGGAUUGCAGGAGGGGCACAACAACAAGAAGGAAGAGCUAGUUGAGCUUCUGCAGCUGGUCCAUCAGGGUCGCGUUAAGGGUAAUACUAGUUUAGUUAUCUUUUGCUUUUGACCAUGUAAAUUAUUUAUAAAUUAAAACACUUAUCUCCUAAAACUUGAGAUGUAAUAUUAAUCCGUAAUUUUGAAUGUAUGUCUUUAAUCUAAUGGUUGAAACUCUUA